rnacentral:rRNA from 1 species
UAACGACUCUCGGCAACGGAUAUCUCGGCUCUCGCAUCGAUGAAGAACGUAGCGAAAUGCGAUACGUGGUGUGAAUUGCAGGAUCCCGUGAACCAUCGAGUUUUUGAACGCAAGUUGCGCCCAAAGCCAUUCGGCCGAGGGCACGUCUGCCUGGGCGUCACGC